UCCACCGUGAAAUGUAAGGGGAAAAGCUGGCUUGACGUGGAUCGGAUCAAUAACGAUCGACGAUGCGAAAGCAGGGCCUAACGAACCAAUGUGCCUCAUUUCUGGGGGCCAUUGAUAACAGAAAAGUUACCUCGGGGAUAAUUGAGUUGUCACCAGCAAGAGCACAUAUCGACCUGGUGGCUUGCUACUUCGAUGUCGUCUCUUCCCAACCUCCUGGUGCAGCAGCUGGGAAGGGUGGGGUUGUUCGCCCAUUAAAGGGGAUCGUGAGAUGGGUUUAGACCGUCGUGAGACAGGUUUGUUGCUUUGUGGUUGAGGCGUAUCAGGUGCCUGAUCGGAAGGGCCCUUUAGUACGAGAGGAACGAGGGCUCGGAGCCACUAGUUUACCAGUUGUCCGGCAGGGCAACGCUGGGUAGCCACGCUCCAGCGGAUAAGAGCUGAAAGCAUCUAAGCUCGAAGUCGCCCGAAAGACGAGGCACCUCAGGGGACUCGUAUAAGACGAGUUUGAUAGACAGCGGGUGUAAGGACCGAGGUUCGCCGAGGUCUUCAGCCCAGCUGCACUAACCCCCCGAGCAUCCAAAUAA
rnacentral:rRNA from 1 species